UUAAAUUUUUUAUACAUAAAAUAAUAAAAUAUGAAGAGAUACAUUAUUGAAAAGUGUUUUAAGUUUAUUUCACUGGAUUUUUAAAAGAAAAAAAGGCAAAAAGGUUAAUCACCCAUAAAAUUACAUUAACGAAACGGGCCAGCCUUAGGAUAUAUUUUGGGCAUUUGGUUUUCAAAUUAAAAUUUGAUAGUAUAUAAUUCAAGAUAACGGAUUAAAAUGAAUCAUUGUAAAGAGAUGCUCAAGAGGAAGAAGAUAUAGCCGUUUAGAGAGAGAGAUUGAUCUUGGCUUGAACGAAAAAAAAUUAACAUCUUCCAUGGAUGAAGACUCCUAUUAGCUGAUGUUUAAUGGUUUCUUUGAGAAAAGCAGAGCAGAGACUUAGUUUAGUGUUCUUCUCAGAGGAAUGCAUAUAUUGACACAUACAUACAUUCAUAUGCACACAUACAUACAUACUAAGAGCUCACAACAAGAUCAGUGGUUAUUGCCACUUCUAAUUGCGGUAGUCAUGGCAGAUCAAGAUGUUUGUGAAAGAGACAUCUUGUGACAGCUGUACUACUGGGUGUGAUGACUCCACUAUCAAGUCUUCUCAUGGGAAAGCAUCAUACGGGGCUUCAGCUAGGAAAAGAAUUAUCAACUUUUUCUUAAAAUUCAGCACCUGAGACCGAGCUUGCGUUGCUGUCAGAUCAAGCUGUUCACCUUGUAGAAGGUCUGGAAUUAGAUAAACUGAACGAGAAGUUUUUACCAAUCAAAGACACUCAUCAGGUCGGUUAUGUUCAAGAGGCCACCACACACAAUGUCUUUUUUUGUUUUCUGUGUCCUGACCUAUAAAAAGCACAAGUACAUUCAAUGAAUCUGGAUUCUAGCCAAAGACAAGGCGAUACGACACACUAUUUAAUCCGUCCUCUUUGGUGACUCAAGUAGUCUUGGUAUUUUUUCUCAGGGCUUACAUCACAGUCAUGAGAUCCAAUUUUGCAGGAGCAGUUGGCGAUACGACAAAAAAGGAAUAUGCAUAAUUUCUGUUGCAGUGAAUUCAAGUCCCAUCUCAGAAUUAUAGUUGGAGCAAUCAAAUUUCUUUUCAAUUUCCUAGUUCACAGAAAUGCGAAAGUGAUGGUUAUUAGAAGUAUCAGAGUCAAAAUUCCACCGGAAAUCAGCGCAGAAGAAAGUCGUAAAAUCAUUACAGAUUCUGUCAAGAGAUUGAAUUUAUAACUUGGCUCUUGAGGAGGUGUGUGGCGUGUGUCGAGUCAGGUGUCUCGUAUCUUAGCUCGAAAUUUGGGAGCAUAACAGAAGCUCCUGAUGGCCUUAGGUUUAUUUCCUGUGAAAAAAAAAAACACCGUUGUUCCGUGCAGGCUUGCCACUGUUUCUUCUGGAGAAACUCUUGCAGUACGAAGUUGGAAGACGUAGAGUGUCCCUGUUCAAGAUGCAUAUGGCGUAGAGGUGGAGGUAUAGUAUGAAUCUUUUGAGACUGUUCUGUUUGAAAACUUCAAGUGGAAUCCCCUCUGAUUCGCUCAAAGACUGUCAAAGCAAAACAGAUCGAAUA